rnacentral:rRNA from 1 species
GCCCGCACAAGCGGUGGAGCAUGUGGUUUAAUUUAGAAGCAACGCGAAGAACCUUGCCAGGUCUUGACAUCCCGUUGACCACUGUAGAGAUAUAGUUUCCCCUUCGGGGGCAACGGUGACAGGUGGUGCAUGGUUGUCGUCAGCUCGUGUCGUGAGAUGUUGGGUUAAGUCCCGCAACGAGCGCAACCCUUGAUCUUAGUUGCCAUCAUUUAGUUGGGCACUCUAAGGUGACUGCCGGUGACAAACCGGAGGAAGGUGGGGAUGACGUCAAAUCAUCAUGCCCCUUAUGACCUGGGCUACACACGUGCUACAAUGGACGAUACAAACGGUUGCCAACUCGCGAGAGGGAGCUAAUCCGAUAAAGUCGUUCUCAGUUCGGAUUGUAGGCUGCAACUCGCCUACAUGAAGCCGGAAUCGCUAGUAAUCGCGGAUCAGCAUGCCGCGGUGAAUACGUUCCCGGGCCUUGUACACACCGCCCGUCACACCACGAGAGUUUGUAACACCCGAAGUCGGUGAGGUAACCUUUUGGAGCCAGCCGCCGAAGGUGGGAUAGAUGAUUGGGGUGAAGUCGUAACAAGGUA